UGUCAGGAAUGCGGUGACUCGGGCUAUGCUGAGCUCCUAAUUUACUGUGUUUUGUGUCAAACAUCUUCUGAACAUAGUUAUUGUUUAGGUAAAACACCUAAGAAUUGUGACGGUGAAGUCAUAUGGAUAUGUGAGGGUUGUGAAGAAACAGCUGGACUCAUACAAGGUGGGCAAGUAACCAGUUUUGAAGAUAGGUCAAACAGUAGAAAGAAACUAAAAUACUGAGUUCACUGAUCCUGUGUGAAGAGGUGUAUGACUGCCCGUGGUUUGUCUCUCGUUCUCAUGUCAUAUCUGGUGAAUGGGGUUUAAAAAGCAAAAGAUUAGAUGCAGACGAGGAGGAAAGAUUUACGCCCUGCCACUUGAAUUCACGACUUAUGGAUCCUUUGUUUUGUUGGAGAUGUACAAUUAUGACUGUUAACAUCGGAGGAUAGUAAGCUGAACCUUGAGUUAGAACUAGGCCUAGCAGUGUAAAAAUUCCGUUUCGGUGUUUUCUGAAAAUGAAGGGGAGGAGAAUAGAGGUUUAAAUAUGCUGGUUGAUGUUCUCAUCCACCCCCUGCAUCUUUUUUUCCUCUGUGAAUUCAAUAUCAUGUGUAUUUCAGCCAAUUCCCUAAUCUGUUGCUUGUUACUUCUACUUACCUGUGGCAUCCUGUAUAUAUGAAGCACUAAUUAAUGAGCACUUCAGAUG